UCCAUAGGUUAAUGAGGCGAACCGGGGGAACUGAAACAUCUAAGUACCCCGAGGAAAAGAAAUCAACCGAGAUUCCCCCAGUAGCGGCGAGCGAACGGGGAGCAGCCCAGAGCCUGAAUCAGUGUGUGUGUUAGUGGAAGCGUCUGGAAAGGCGCGCGAUACAGGGUGACAGCCCCGUACACAAAAAUGCACAUGCUGUGAGCUCGAUGAGUAGGGCGGGACACGUGGUAUCCUGUCUGAAUAUGGGGGGACCAUCCUCCAAGGCUAAAUACUCCUGACUGACCGAUAGUGAACCAGUACCGUGAGGGAAAGGCGAAAAGAACCCCGGCGAGGGGAGUGAAAAAGAACCUGAAACCGUGUACGUACAAGCAGUGGGAGCACGCUUAGGCGUGUGACUGCGUACCUUUUGUAUAAUGGGUCAGCGACUUAUAUUCUGUAGCAAGGUUAACCGAAUAGGGGAGCCGAAGGGAAACCGAGUCUUAACUGGGCGUUAAGUUGCAGGGUAUAGACCCGAAACCCGGUGAUCUAGCCAUGGGCAGGUUGAAGGUUGGGUAACACUAACUGGAGGACCGAACCGACUAAUGUUGAAAAAUUAGCGGAUGACUUGUGGCUGGGGGUGAAAGGCCAAUCAAACCGGGAGAUAGCUGGUUCUCCCCGAAAGCUAUUUAGGUAGCGCCUCGUGAAUUCAUCUCCGGGGGUAGAGCACUGUUUCGGCAAGGGGGUCAUCCCGACUUACCAAC
rnacentral:rRNA from 1 species